UGCCAGACUCCUACGGGAGGCAGCAGUAGGGAAUUUUGCGCAAUGGGCGAAAGCCUGACGCAGCAACGCCGCGUGAUCGAGACGCCCUUCGGGGUGUAAAGAUCUGUCAGUGGGGACGAAACUUGACGGUACCCACAGAGGAAGCACCGGCUAACUACGUGCCAGCAGCCGCGGUAAUACGUAGGGGGCAAGCGUUAUCCGGAUUUACUGGGUGUAAAGGGAGCGUAGACGGUGAAGCAAGUCUGAAGUGAAAGGCGGGGGCUCAACCCCCGGACUGCUUUGGAAACUGUUUGACUGGAGUGCAGGAGAGGUAAGUGGAAUUCCUAGUGUAGCGGUGAAAUGCGUAGAUAUUAGGAGGAACACCAGUGGCGAAGGCGGCUUACUGGACUGUAACUGACGUUGAGGCUCGAAAGCGUGGGGAGCAAACAGGAUUAGAUACCCGUGUAA
rnacentral:rRNA from 1 species